rnacentral:rRNA from 1 species
GAAUAUUGGACAAUGGGCGGAAGCCUGAUCCAGCAAUGCCGCGUGUGCGAAGAAGGCCUGCGGGUUGUAAAGCACUUUCGAUGGGGAAGAUUAUGACGGUACCCAUAGAAGAAGCACCGGCUAACUCCGUGCCAGCAGCCGCGGUAAUACGGAGGGUGCAAGCGUUAAUCGGAAUUACUGGGCGUAAAGCGCGCGUAGGCGGCUUAGUAAGUCGGAUGUGAAAGCCCCGGGCUUAACCUGGGAACUGCAUUCGAUACUGCUGAGCUAGAGUAUGGAAGAGGGAAGUGGAAUUCCGGGUGUAGCGGUGAAAUGCGUAGAUAUCCGGAGGAACACCAGUGGCGAAGGCGACUUCCUGGGCCAAUACUGACGCUGAGGUGCGAAAGCGUGGGGAGCAAACAGG